CACGUAGGGGGCGAGCGUUGUCCGGAUUCAUUGGGCGUAAAGGCGCGCAGGCGGCCCGGAAAGUCGGAUGUGAAAACUCGGGCUCAACCCCGAGCGUGCACCCGAUACUGCCGGGCUUGAGGCAGGUAGGGGAGAUCGGAAUUCCUGGUGUAGCGGUGAAAAUGCGCAGAUAUCAGGAAGAACACCCGUGGCGAAGGCGGCUCUCUGGGACGGUACUGACGCUGAGACGCGAAAGCGUGGGGAGCGAACAGG
rnacentral:rRNA from 1 species